CGACCGCUGGCGGCGUGCUUCACACAUGCAAGUCGCACGGAAAGGCCCUGCUUUUGUGGGGUGCUCGAGUGGCGAACGGGUGAGUAACACGUGAGUAACCUGCCCUUGACUUUGGGAUAACUUCAGGAAACUGGGGCUAAUACCGGAUAGGAGCUCCUGCUGCAUGGUGGGGGUUGGAAAGUUUCGGCGGUUGGGGAUGGACUCGCGGCUUAUCAGCUUGUUGGUGGGGUAGUGGCUUACCAAGGCUUUGACGGGUAGCCGGCCUGAGAGGGUGACCGGCCACAUUGGGACUGAGAUACGGCCCAGACUCCUACGGGAGGCAGCAGUGGGGAAUAUUGCACAAUGGGCGGAAGCCUGAUGCAGCAACGCCGCGUGCGGGAUGACGGCCUUCGGGUUGUAAACCGCUUUCGCCUGUGACGAAGCGUGAGUGACGGUAAUGGGUAAAGAAGCACCGGCUAACUACGUG
rnacentral:rRNA from 1 species